UACGUAGGUGGCGAGCGUUGUCCGGAUUUACUGGGCGUAAAGGGAGCGUAGGCGGACUUUUAAGUGAGAUGUGAAAUACCCGGGCUCAACUUGGGUGCUGCAUUUCAAACUGGAAGUCUAGAGUGCAGGAGAGGAGAAUGGAAUUCCUAGUGUAGCGGUGGAAUGCGUAGAGAUUAGGAAGAACACCAGUGGCGAAGGCGAUUCUCUGGACUGUAACUGACGCUGAGGCUCGAAAGCGUGGGGAGCAAACAGGAUUAGAUACCCU
rnacentral:rRNA from 1 species